AUUGAACGCUGGCGGCAUGCCUUACACAUGCAAGUCGAACGGCAGCACGGGGGCAACCCUGGUGGCGAGUGGCGAACGGGNGAGUAAUACAUCGGAACGUGCCCAGUAGUGGGGGAUAGCCCGGCGAAAGCCGGAUUAAUACCGCAUACGACCUACGGGUGAAAGCGGGGGAUCGCAAGACCUCGCGCUAUCGGAGCAGCCGAUGUCAGAUUAGGUUGUUGGUGGGGUAAAAGCCUACCAAGCCGACGAUCUGUAGCUGGUCUGAGAGGACGACCAGCCACACUGGGACUGAGACACGGCCCAGACUCCUACGGGAGGCAGCAGGUGGGGAAUUUUUGGACAAUGGGCGCAAGCCUGAUCCAG
rnacentral:rRNA from 1 species